CACCGACUCAGUCCCACCGAGGAGGCUCCAGAGACGUCUGAUGGAGGAUCUUCAAUGCCCCUGGAUCAGUGGAAGAGGACCCUGUGGCCCUCCUUCAGGCAUCUCAUGCUGCGGCUAAGCAAUCCCAGGUGAAGACAGAGGAGCAGAUCGCAGCAGAGCAAGCCUGGUAUGGAUCAGAGAAAGUCUGGCUGGUCCACAAAGAUGGCUUCUCCCUGGGUGAGCUGGGAUUACUUGGCUUUUUUGCACAUACAGCACCAUUUCCUUCAACACAUUCCAGCGUAGG